UACGUAGGGGGCAAGCGUUGUCCGGAUUCAUUGGGCGUAAAGAGCGUGUAGGCGGCCAGGUAGGUCGGUUGUGAAAACUGGAGGCUCAACCUUCAGAGGUCGACCGAAACCAUCUGGCUAGAGUCCGGGAGAGGAGAGUGGAAUUCCUGGUGUAGCGGUGAAAUGCGUAGAGAUCGGGAGGAACACCCGUGGCGAAGGCGGCCAUCUGGACCAGCACUGACGCUGAGGCACGAAAGCGUGGGGAGCAAACAGG
rnacentral:rRNA from 1 species